rnacentral:tRNA from 2 species
GGGAGCUUAGCUCAGCUGGUAGAGCACCUGCUUGACGUGCAGGUGGCCACAGGUUCGAGUCCUGUAGCCCCCACCA